CCCUUAGAUGUCCUGGGCCGCACGCGCGCUACACUGAUGCAUUCAACGAGUUUUUCCUUGGCCGAGAGGCCUGGGCAAUCUUUUGAACGUGCAUCGUGAUAGGGAUAGAUUAUUGCAAUUAUUAAUCUUGAACGAGGAAUUCCUAGUAAACGCAGAUCAUCAAUCUGCAUUGAUUACGUCCCUGCCCUUUGUACACACCGCCCGUCGCACCUACCGAUUGAAUGGUCCGGUGAAGCCUCGGGAUUGUGGCCAGUUCACUUUAUUGGGAGUUGGCUGCGAGAACUUGUCUAAACCUUAUCAUUUAGAGGAAGGUGAAGUCGUAACA
rnacentral:rRNA from 1 species